rnacentral:lncRNA from 1 species
CACAUCACUCCAAUCUCUGACUCCACCUUCACAUUACCUUUGUGUGUGUGUGUGUGUGUGUGUGUGUGUGUGUGUGUGUGUGUGUGUCUUCUCUCUGUCUAUAUCAAAUCUCCCUCUACCCCUUUCUUAAAAGGUCACUUAAGCCCUUCUCCACCUGAUGUGAGAAAGCAGACGGUCACCACUUCAGAGGACUAAAGGAGAAGCAAUGUCCUCAGGGAAAACUCAGGUUUUUGUUGGAGCAAAAAGGUGAAGGCAUGGUUGAGAGAACAGAGUGAUGACAUAGGGGAGUUUGCUGAAUACAAAGCAACGGUUCCAGAAGGCAUGUGGAAGCCCUGAGCAAGAGAGGAGGAACAGAGGGCUCAUCCAGGAGCAGUGGGGAAAAUCAGGCAAAGAGAUUGAUGACUGAGGUGGACUUAUAUUUAAGCAUUAACUGAUUUAAAAAAAAAAAAAGUCAAUGGGAAUGGGAGUGAUUACUGGCCCUACUGCUGCAAGGACUUGGCUCACUAGACCUGAUGAAGGGGUGUUCCUGCAGGAGUUUCUGCACAGGCCACUGCUUGGGAUGUUCUUGAGCCAGAGGUUGUAGUUUCAGCUCCUGUACAGCUUAGCAUAACAUUGGCUUCAGAGGCUUAGGCUUCAACACCUGACACAAUGUUGACUGUCUCAGAGGUGAGGUGUUAAGAAUACCACAGAUUGAAUACAUGAGGUGUUAUAGUUAGUUCAGUCCCAGAGAGUAGGGCAAUUGGCACUCCUAGAAGAUGCGUCUCUAUACCUGAGCAGCUAAAGAUCAUGCGACUUGAAAUAUUUAACAUCAUUUUAACCAACAAAAGCCCCAUAUUUUCUCCCAUUUACAGACGUUCUACAUAUAGGAUCUGUUUUGCAAACAUGACGCUGUUGUUUAUAACCAUGGAGACAUAUGUUGUUUGCGCUUAAUAUUGUACUGUAUGUGAGAAAAUGAAAUGCCUUCUAUAUGUGAUGCUAAUUCAAAUUUUAUCUUGUUAUAUGGACUAAAUAUUACAUGGAAUUGUGAUAGAAUCGCCCUGUCUUAAGUACACUGUUUAUUCUAAGAGUUGUGAUAGGCUAAGGGGGGAAAAACCCCAAGUUUUAUUGCUUUACAAGCCAACCACGUUAAGAGCAUACAUCUGCUUUAAAACUAUACAGCCGGGCGCGGUGGCUUACGCCUGUGAUCCCAGCUCUCAGGGAGGCAAGAGGCAGGAGGAUAGCUUGAGCCCAGGAGUUCGAGACCUGCCUGGGCAAUAUAGUGAGACCCCAUUCUCCAGAAAAAGGAAAAAAAAAAAAAAAAAAAAGAAAAAAACCAUUUUAUUUAUUUGCUUACAAUUCAUGUUAAGAUUCAUUAGUUCAUCAUGAGAUCCCUCCACCAAGAAAAAAACAAACUGUAUUGAUCACCUUUGGAGGAUCCUAGGGAAACAACUGGCUAAUUUAAAAUCUGCUUAGAUGCUUUUGUAGUUCAUAGGCGUGGUAAUUGGGUGUUCACGUGCAUGUGUGAGAUGUGUCACGCUCCAGCCUUGUUACAACAUCAGCAUGUUAUCCAUCUGUAGUCCCGGCUACUCAGGGAGCUGAAGUGGGAGAGUCUCUUCAGCCCGGGAGGUGGAGGAUGCAUUGAGCCAUGAUCAUGCCACUGCACUCUAGCCUGGGUAACAGAGCAAGACAACCACUAUGAUAAAAGACACAUUGGAAGCACAGAAGAGGGGCAGGUAAAUUACAAUGAGGGCUCAGAGGCAGCUUCCUGUAGAGAGUGGCUCUCAAGUUGAAUUUUAAAGAACAAGCAUGAGUAGCUAGCUAGAGAAUGAGGGGAUAGGGUGUGUCAAGUGGGAGUUAAGAGCCGGAGGGGAACUUCAGCUCUGGAAGGCACCAUUGGCAGUGGCCUGCCCCAUUCUUGGUCCCAGCACCUGCAGAAUAGAACCAUUCUGGUUCUAGAUUUUCCUGGGUAACCUUGACCCUUGGGGUCUGGUGACUUCAUCUCCUUCUAUUCCUUCAGCCUUAGGACUGGCUAUUGGUAGUGGCUUGCUGUUGUUGUUAACUUCUGGAUUAUCUAAGCAUCCUUAUUGGUUUCUCAGCUCUUUCAUCUCUGCUCUGAAGACCG